rnacentral:misc_RNA from 1 species
AACGCACAUUGCGCCCUUUGGUAUUCCGAAGGGCAUGCCUGUUCGAGCGUCAUUAUCACCUCUCAAGCCCGGCUUGCUGUUGGAUCAUUCAUCGUCAUUGAUGGGUCCGAAAGAUAAUGGCGGAGUCGUGUUCGAUCCCCGGUGCAACGAGCCUGUCGGCACGCACGGUGGUGGUCGGGCCGGCCCGGUCUUAACCCCAAUCUCACCUAAGAUUGACCUCGGAUCAGGUAGGAAUACCCGCUGAACUUAA